rnacentral:rRNA from 1 species
UGUGGUAAUGAUGGCAAGAAGGACACACCUGUUCCCAUCUCGAACACAGAAGUUAAGCUUUGAGUGAUCUACAAGUGUUGGAAUCCGAAGGAUGUAAAUAUUGUUCAAUAGCAGUGG